AUUGAACGCUGGCGGUAUGCUUAACACAUGCAAGUCGAACGAUGAGAAAGAGCUUGCUCUUUCGAUUAGUGGCGGACGGGUGCGUAACGCGUAGGAAUCUGCCUAUUAGUGGGGGACAACUUAGGGAAACUUAAGCUAAUACCGCAUACGCCCUACGGGGGAAAGAAGGGGAUCGCAAGACCUUUUGCUAAUAGAUGAGCCUGCGUAGGAUUGGCUAGUUGGUGGGGUAAAAGCUCACCAAGGCAACGAUCCUUAACUGGUUUGAGAGAAUGAUCAGUCACACUGGAACUGAGACACGGUCCAGACUCCUACGGGAGGCAGCAGUGGGGAAUAUUGGACAAUGGGCGAAAGCCUGAUCCAGCAAUACCGCGUGUGUGAAGAAGGCCUUAGGGUUGUAAAGCACUUUCAAUUGGAAGGAAAACCUCGAAGCUAAUACCUUCGAGUUUGACAUUACCUUUAGAAGAAGCACCGGCUAACUCCGUGCCAGCCGCCGCCGUAA
rnacentral:rRNA from 1 species